AGUGAACGCUGGCGGUAGGCCUAACACAUGCAAGUCGAACGGCAGCACAGUAAGAGCUUGCUCUUACGGGUGGCGAGUGGCGGACGGGUGAGGAUUACAUCGGAAUCUACUUUUUCGUGGGGGAUAACGUAGGGAAACUUACGCUAAUACCGCAUACGACCUACGGGUGAAAGCAGGGGAUCUUCGGACUUUGCGCGAUUGAAUGAGCCGAUGUCGGAUUAGCUAGUUGGCGGGGUAAAGGCCCACCAAGGCGACGAUCCGUAGCUGGUCUGAGAGGAUGAUCAGCCACACUGGAACUGAGACACGGUCCAGACUCCUACGGGAGGCAGCAGUGGGGAAUAUUGGACAAUGGGCGAAAGCCUGAUCCAGCCAUACCGCGUGGGUGAAGAAGGCCUUCGGGUUGUAAAGCCCUUUUGUUGGGAAAGAAAAGCAGCAGGUUAAUACCCCGCUGUUCUGACGGUACCCAAAGAAUAAGCACCGGCUAACUUCGUG
rnacentral:rRNA from 1 species